GCCUGGCGUGCUCUGGUCCAUGGGGUCACGAAGAGUCGGACACGACUAAACAACAACAACAAUAGGGAUGCGGGUGGCACUGUGGUCUAAACCACAGAGCCUAGGGCUUGCCGAUCGGAAGGUUGGUGUUUCGAAUCCCUGCGAUGGGGUGAGCUCCCGUUUCUCGGUCCCAGCUCCUGCCAACCUAGCAGUUCAAAAGCA